GCCUUAGUAGUUUAAGGGUAAAAACACUAACUUUAUAUAUUAGUAAUAAAAGUUCGAUUCUUUUCUAAGGCU